CGCCUUUUGAGCUAUAAAUAUAAAAGGUCCUGCCUGCCCAGUGACACUUGUUUCAACGGCCGCGGUAUUAUGACCGUGCAAAGGUAGCGUAAUCACUUGUCUUUUAAAUAAAGACCAGUAUGAAUGGCAAGACGAAAGCCUAACUGUCUCCCCAGGUCAGUCAAUGAAAUUGAUUUUCCCGUGCAGAAGCGGGAAUACUAAUAUAAGACGAGAAGACCCUGUGGAGCUUCAAACUUAAGCUAACAAAUCAUAAAUGCCUUAGCACCCAGUUUUAGGUUGGGGCGACCAUGAGGUAAAACACAACCCUCAAGACAUAAACCAAGAAGGACACUUCAAAAUAACCAUAACGUAACUUGACCCAAUAAUUGAUCAAUGAACCAAGUUACCCCAGGGAUAACAGCGCAAUCUACUCAAAGAGCCCCUAUCGACGAGCAGGUUUACGACCUCGAUGUUGGAUCAGGACCCCCAAAUAAUGCAACAAUUAUUAAAGGUU
rnacentral:rRNA from 1 species